rnacentral:misc_RNA from 1 species
GAUGAAGAACGCAGCGAAAUGCGAUACGUAAUGUGAAUUGCAGAAUUCAGUGAAUCAUCGAGUCUUUGAACGCACAUUGCGCCCUCUGGUAUUCCGGAGGGCAUGCCUGUCCGAGCGUCAUUGCUGCCCUCAAGCACGGCUUGUGUGUUGGGCCCCGCCCCCCGAUCCCGGGGGGCGGGCCCGAAAGGCAGCGGCGGCACCGCGUCCGGUCCUCGAGCGUAUGGGGCUUUGUCACCCGCUCUGUAGGCCCGGCCGGCGCCUGCCGAUCAACCAAACUUUUUUCCAGGUUGACCUCGGAUCAGGUAGGGAUACCCGCUGAACUUAAGCAUAUCAAUAAGCGGGGA